CUGGCUCCCCUUCACCUUCUACUAUGAGUGGAAACAAGCUGAAGCCCUCACCAGAAAGAGACACCAUCACCAUGCUUCUUGUACAACCUGCAGAACCGUGAGGGGACUGCUUGAGAAGAUAACCAAAGACGGGAAUCGAGAUUUGGACCUACCUCUUACCACUAUCCUCAUGAUGGAGAGGCAAAGGAUUUGCUCUGUACCUGACUGCAUUAUGAAACACCUAUUUGCCUGACCCACCCCUCCUCAGGCUGCACCACCCAGGACACUAUGAAAAUGAAGUUGCAACUGACUGGAAGUCAGCAGUACUACACCGGGUCCAGAUGAACGUAAACCAACAUGGAACCCCAAGGCCAUGCUCUAGAGGGUCAGCUCUGAACCUCCUUGAAGUAA
rnacentral:lncRNA from 10 species